ACUCCUGCGGGAGGCAGCAGUGGGGAAUUUUGGACAAUGGGCGAAAGCCUGAUCCAGCAAUGCCGCGUGAGUGAAGAAGGCCUUCGGGUUGUAAAGCUCUUUUGUCAGGGAAGAAACGGUGAGAGCUAAUAUCUUUUGCUAAUGACGGUACCUGAAGAAUAAGCACCGGCUAACUACGUGCCAGCAGCCGCGGUAAUACGUAGGGUGCAAGCGUUAAUCGGAAUUACUGGGCGUAAAGCGUGCGCAGGCGGUUUUGUAAGUCUGAUGUGAAAUCCCCGGGCUCAACCUGGGAAUUGCAUUGGAGACUGCAAGGCUAGAAUCUGGCAGAGGGGGGUAGAAUUCCACGUGUAGCAGUGAAAUGCGUAGAUAUGUGGAGGAACACCGAUGGCGAAGGCAGCCCCCUGGGUCAAGAUUGACGCUCAUGCACGAAAGCGUGGGGAGCAAACAGGAUUAGAUACCCGUGUAGUCCCAUG
rnacentral:rRNA from 1 species